rnacentral:rRNA from 1 species
GGUGGCGAGUGGCGAACGGGUGAGUAAUACAUCGGAACGUGCCCUGUCGUGGGGGAUAACUAGUCGAAAGAUUAGCUAAUACCGCAUACGACCUGAGGGUGAAAGCGGGGGACCGGUAACGGCCUCGCGCGACAGGAGCGGCCGAUGUCUGAUUAGCUAGUUGGUGGGGUAAAAGCCUACCAAGGCGACGAUCAGUAGCUGGUCUGAGAGGACGAUCAGCCACACUGGGACUGAGACACGGCCCAGACUCCUACGGGAGGCAGCAGUGGGGAAUUUUGGACAAUGGGGGCAACCCUGAUCCAGCAAUGCCGCGUGUGUGAAGAAGGCCUUCGGGUUGUAAAGCACUUUUGUCCGGAAAGAAAUGGCUCUGGUUAAUACCUGGGGUCGAUGACGGUACCGGAAGAAUAAGCACCGGCUAACUACGUGCCAGCAGCCGCGGUAAUACGUAGGGUGCGAGCGUUAAUCGGAAUUACUGGGCGUAAAGCGUGCGCAGGCGGUUUGAUAAGA